GGUAAUUCUCCCGCUGGCAGAUUGGGGUCAGUGGGACCUGUUGACUAGAAGCUCGCUGGUGACUCUGCACAGCUCUAAGCAACAUUUCAGGGAACUGGAGCCCUCUUCUCAUUUGGCAGAUGUUUCGGCAAAUUAUUUUUCUGCUGCAUAUCUGGAGAAAAGUGGCCAUAGAGAAAUCCUGCAACUUCAACGUUCAUUUCUGCAGUGUCCCAAGAGUUAAGAAACAUUUUACUCCAGCUUUCUUUACUGACCUAUACUGUUGUGUUUCUAAUUAUAUGAAGAAUUGUAUCCUUUUGGGAUGCCUGGAUGGCUCAGUCAGUUACACACCUAACUCUUGAUUUCGGCUCAGGUCAUGAUUUCACGGUUUGUGAGACUGAGGCCCAUGUUGGGCCCUGCACUGACAGUGUGGAGCCUGCUUGGGAUUUUCUCUCUCUCUCUCUCUCUCUGCCCCUCCUCUGUGCUCUUUGUCUCUCAAAAUAAAUAAAUAAAUACAUAAACUUAAAAAAAUAAA
rnacentral:lncRNA from 1 species